GACGAACGCUGGCGGCGUGCUUAACACAUGCAAGUCGAACGGAAAGGCCCUGCUUUUGUGGGGUGCUCGAGUGGCGAACGGGUGAGUAACACGUGAGUAACCUGCCCUUGACUUUGGGAUAACUUCAGGAAACCGGGGCUAAUACCGGAUAGGAGCUCCUGCUGCAUGGUGGGGGUUGGAAAGUUUCGGCGGUUGGGGAUGGACUCGCGGCUUAUCAGCUUGUUGGUGGGGUAGUGGCUUACCAAGGCUUUGACGGGUAGCCGGCCUGAGAGGGUGACCGGCCACAUUGGGACUGAGAUACGGCCCAGACUCCUACGGGAGGCAGCAGUGGGGAAUAUUGCACAAUGGGCGGAAGCCUGAUGCAGCAACGCCGCGUGCGGGAUGACGGCCUUCGGGUUGUAAACCGCUUUCGCCUGUGACGAAGCGUGAGUGACGGUAAUGGGUAAAGAAGCACCGGCUAACUACGUGCCAGCAGCCGCGGUGAUACGUAGGGUGCGAGCGUUGUCCGGAUUUAUUGGGCGUAAAGGGCUCGUAGGUGGUUGAUCGCGUCGGAAGUGUAAUCUUGGGGCUUAACCCUGAGCGUGCUUUCGAUACGGGUUGACUUGAGGAAGGUAGGGGAGAAUGGAAUUCCUGGUGGAGCGGUGGAAUGCGCAGAUAUCAGGAGGAACACCAGUGGCGAAGGCGGUUCUCUGGGCCUUUCCUGACGCUGAGGAGCGAAAGCGUGGGGAGCGAACAGGCUUAGAUACCCUGGUAGUCCACGCUGUAAACGGUGGGUACUAGGUGUGGGGUCCAUUCCACGGGUUCCGUGCCGUAGCUAACGCUUUAAGUACCCCGCCUGGGGAGUACGGCCGCAAGGCUAAAACUCAAAGGAAUUGACGGGGCCCCGCACAAGCGGCGGAGCAUGCGGAUUAAUUCGAUGCAACGCGUAGAACCUUACCUGGGUUUGACAUGGAUCGGGAGUGCUCAGAGAUGGGUGUGCCUCUUUUGGGGUCGGUUCACAGGUGGUGCAUGGCUGUCGUCAGCUCGUGUCGUGAGAUGUUGGGUUAAGUCCCGCAACGAGCGCAACCCUUGUUCACUGUUGCCAGCACGUUAUGGUGGGGACUCAGUGGAGACCGCCGGGGUCAACCCGGAGGAAGGUGGGGAUGACGUCAAGUCAUCAUGCCCCUUAUGUCCAGGGCUUCACGCAUGCUACAAUGGCUGGUACAGAGAGUGGCGAGCCUGUGAGGGUGAGCGAAUCUCGGAAAGCCGGUCUCAGUUCGGAUUGGGGUCUGCAACUCGACCUCAUGAAGUCGGAGUCGCUAGUAAUCGCAGAUCAGCAACGCUGCGGUGAAUACGUUCCCGGGGCUUGUACACACCGCCCGUCAAGUCCUGAAAGUUGGUAACACCCGAAGCCGGUGGCCUAACCGUUGUGGGGGAGCCGUCGAAGGUGGGACUGGUGAUUAGGACU
rnacentral:rRNA from 1 species